CCUACGUGUGGCAGCAGUGGGGAAUAUUGCACAAUGGGGGGAACCCUGAUGCAGCGACGCCGCGUGAGUGAAGAAGUAUUUCGGUAUGUAAAGCUCUAUCAGCAGGGAAGAAAAUGACGGUACCUGACUAAGAAGCCCCGGCUAACUACGUGCCAGCAGCCGCGGUAAUACGUAGGGGGCAAGCGUUAUCCGGAUUUACUGGGUGGAAAGGGAGCGCAGACGGCUGUGCAAGUCUGGAGUGAAAGGCGGGGCCCAACCCCCGGACUGCUCUGGAAACUGUAAAGCUGGAGUGCAGGAGAGGUAAGCGGAAUUCCUAGUGUAGCGGUGAAAUGCGUAGAUAUUAGGAGGAACACCAGUGGCGAAGGCGGCUUACUGGACUGCAACUGACGUUGAGGCUCGAAAGCGUGGGGAGCAAACAGGAUUAGAUACCCUUGUAGUC
rnacentral:rRNA from 1 species